UACAGAGGGUGCGAGCGUUGUCCGGAAUCACUGGGCGUAAAGGGCGCGUAGGUGGUGGCUUAAGCGUGCGGUGAAAGCUCGGAGCUCAACUCCGAGUCGGCCGUGCGAACUGGGCUCACUGGAGCAUAGUAGAGGCAGGUGGAAUUCCGGGUGUAGCGGUGGAAUGCGUAGAGAUCCGGAAGAACACCGGUGGCGAAGGCGGCCUGCUGGGCUAUGGCUGACACUGAGGCGCGACAGCGUGGGGAUCAAACAGG
rnacentral:rRNA from 1 species